rnacentral:rRNA from 1 species
CAGGACGAACGCUGGCGGCACGCUUAACACAUGCAAGUCGAACGGAGUUAUCGAGAGCUUGCUUUGAUAACUUAGUGGCGGACGGGUGAGUAACACGUGAGCAAUCUGCCCUUAAGAGGGGGAUAGCAGUUGGAAACGACUGAUAAUACCGCAUAAGAUAGUAGUACCGCAUGGUACAGCUAUAAAAGAUUUAUCGCUUAAGGAUGAGCUCGCGUCUGAUUAGCUAGUUGGUGAGGUAACGGCUCACCAAGGCAACGAUCAGUAGCCGGACUGAGAGGUUGGACGGCCACAUUGGGACUGAGACACGGCCCAGACUCCUACGGGAGGCAGCAGUGGGGAAUAUUGCACAAUGGAGGAAACUCUGAUGCAGCGAUGCCGCGUGAGGGAAGAAGGUUUUAGGAUUGUAAACCUCUGUUGACAGGGACGAUAAUGACGGUACCUGUUGAGGAAGCUCCGGCUAACUACGUGCCAGCCGCUGC